AUCCUUUGUAGUUUAUAAGUGUGAUGAUUAUGUUUCCAUGAGCCUAUGUGAGAUCCAUUUCCCUCAUAUCCUGUUAUGAUGUUGGCACACUACCUAUCUUAUA
ensembl:snoRNA